UGUGGGAGCUGGCUUGCCUGCGAUAGCGGAGUGUCAGUCAAUAAUUUUUAACUGAUACACCGCCAUCGCAGGCAAGCCAGCUCCCACA
rnacentral:misc_RNA from 1 species